rnacentral:rRNA from 1 species
UACGUAGGGUGCAAGCGUUGUCCGGAAUUAUUGGGCGUAAAGAGCUCGUAGGCGGUUUGUCGCGUCUGCUGUGAAAAUCCAGGGCUUAACCCUGGACCUGCAGUGGGUACGGGCAGACUAGAGUGCGGUAGGGGAGAUCGGAAUUCCUGGUGUAGCGGUGAAAUGCGCAGAUAUCAGGAGGAACACCGGUGGCGAAGGCGGAUCUCUGGGCCGUAACUGACGCUGAGGAGCGAAAGCUAGGGGAGCGAACAGG